rnacentral:rRNA from 1 species
GACGAACGCUGGCGGCGUGCUUAACACAUGCAAGUCGAACGGAAAGGCCCUGCUUUUGUGGGGUGCUCGAGUGGCGAACGGGUGAGUAACACGUGAGUAACCUGCCCUUGACUUUGGGAUAACUUCAGGAAACUGGGGCUAAUACCGGAUAGGAGCUCCUGCUGCAUGGUGGGGGUUGGAAAGUUUCGGCGGUUGGGGAUGGACUCGCGGCUUAUCAGCUUGUUGGUGGGGUAGUGGCUUACCAAGGCUUUGACGGGUAGCCGGCCUGAGAGGGUGACCGGCCACAUUGGGACUGAGAUACGGCCCAGACUCCUACGGGAGGCAGCAGCGGGGAAUAUUGCACAAUGGGCGGAAGCCUGAUGCAGCAACGCCGCGUGCGGGAUGACGGCCUUCGGGUUGUAAACCGCUUUCGCCUGUGACGAAGCGUGAGUGACGGUAAUGGGUAAAGAAGCACCGGCUAACUACGUGCCAGCAGCCGCGGUGAUACGUAGGGUGCGAGCGUUGUCCGGAUUUAUUGGGCGUAAAGGGCUCGUAGGUGGUUGAUCGCGUCGGAAGUGUAAUCUUGGGGCUUAACCCUGAGCGUGCUUUCGAUACGGGUUGACUUGAGGAAGGUAGGGGAGAAUGGAAUUCCUGGUGGAGCGGUGGAAUGCGCAGAUAUCAGGAGGAACACCAGUGGCGAAGGCGGUUCUCUGGGCCUUUCCUGACGCUGAGGAGCGAAAGCGUGGGGAGCGAACAGGCUUAGAUACCCUGGUAGUCCACGCUGUAAACGGUGGGUACUAGGUGUGGGGUCCAUUCCACGGGUUCCGUGCCGUAGCUAACGCUUUAAGUACCCCGCCUGGGGAGUACGGCCGCAAGGCUAAAACUCAAAGGAAUUGACGGGGCCCGCACAAGCGGCGGAGCAUGCGGAUUAAUUCGAUGCAACGCGUAGAACCUUACCUGGGUUUGACAUGGAUCGGGAGUGCUCAGAGAUGGGUGUGCCUCUUUUGGGGUCGGUUCACAGGUGGUGCAUGGCUGUCGUCAGCUCGUGUCGUGAGAUGUUGGGUUAAGUCCCGCAACGAGCGCAACCCUUGUUCACUGUUGCCAGCACGUUAUGGUGGGGACUCAGUGGAGACCGCCGGGGUCAACUCGGAGGAAGGUGGGGAUGACGUCAAGUCAUCAUGCCCCUUAUGUCCAGGGCUUCACGCAUGCUACAAUGGCUGGUACAGAGAGUGGCGAGCCUGUGAGGGUGAGCGAAUCUCGGAAAGCCGGUCUCAGUUCGGAUUGGGGUCUGCAACUCGACCUCAUGAAGUCGGAGUCGCUAGUAAUCGCAGAUCAGCAACGCUGCGGUGAAUACGUUCCCGGG